rnacentral:lncRNA from 1 species
GGCGGAUCAUGUACUGGGCGAGCUAAGAGAUAGGAAAAACGAGGGCGUCAGGCGGGGAUCAACAGAGCCUAUAAAUGAUGAAAGCGACCAAAAGAACACUCACCGACAUGAGACAGACGCAGCUGGCAGCCCCAAUGUCAGGGACCCUCAUCUCCCGGACCUGCCUGCGGUCCUUCUCCAGCAGCACCGUCUCGAUGAGGUUUCGGGCGCCGGCGAAAGUGAAGGCCGACCCCGACUUCUCCCUGGAGUCGGACGGUGGUUCUGCAGCCUUACCCUUACCCAUCGCUUGGUGAAGAGUCAUGCUGACCAUGCUCGGGGCGGGGACCGCCCCUGGAAUUGACAGGGUCCCGCUCGGCCGGGGCCUCGGCGCGUCCCUCCUCGUAUCAUCCGGAGCCGACCGAGUCGAAGGCUGGGCUAGGGACCGAUCGCGUCCAACCCGGCCGUCUCGGGCACGCUCAGAUGACACCUCCGGAAUAACGAUAGUCUCAUCACCGGAGGGCUGAUACAGCGCCAACUGUCGGUCCGAGCCCGCGGCGUCCCCCUGAUCGGUGGGUCCGGACCCGUCUGUCGGCGUCGGAG